rnacentral:misc_RNA from 1 species
AAAGAAAAGAAAAAAAAAAAAGAGCAGUUCUUCGAAGAUUUGUAAUUCGAAUACAUUUAUAUAAGCUUUGCAGAGAUAUAAAGUGCCAUUGAGAUUUUGAUAUAAAAUACGAUAAUUAUUCCAAUCUUAAAAUCGUUAAGUUUCUGUCAGAUUUAAAUCAUAUUCACAAGUAAUAACACAUUAUCACCCUAGCAGAGAUGGAAACGCAUAAAAGGUUCAAAAUUUUAGGACGAGCUCAUGAAAGCAUAGCCCCAUGAAAUCAUCCACAGGAUGACAUGCUGAUUCUAUUUUUUGCAGCAAGAAGACACUAGUAAAUCACUGCUUAAAAUGAUCAUUGUACCUUUUCUCAUAAAUCAAGAUCUAAGACCAGCUUUGUAUUGGAAUGAUAAGAAAAAGUGUACCUAGAGCAGUUGGGAUUCUCACUGCCUAUUGUACUCUGUAAACAUGUGAUUCCUAACUGAAGAAGACUACAGAUUCAAAUACCAUAGUAGCCAGUGCUGCUUUCCUCAAAUCUCAAAUCUUACCUGUUCCAAGAGGCUGCCUUGAGGUGUCACCAGUAGCCCAUGCUUGAUAGUCUUUCACAAGCUGUACAACAAUGGAAGGAAAAUAUAAGUCAAUGGGAUGUGGCAAAGACAAUGUAAUCACAGAGCAAUAUGUCGAGACACAGAACAGGAUUCUUAAAUUGAGAUAUCCAGAUUGUUGAUUUCAUUGAUAAAAAUUACCACUCCAUUCUAAUGCGAACCACAAAAAUUAUACUUCAUAUAUUACUGAACGACCAACAUGAUCACAAGCAACAAAAAUAAUUUACAGAAAUCAGAGUCAUGCUCACAACUGUCACCAAAAAUUCAAAACAGGUUCAUUUCAUGAAAUUUUAAAAAUCGUCUCAGUAAGCGGUGAUGAGAUUUGUUUUUUCAUCUAACGCCCCCUAUCUAAUGGUGGACAUCCACAUUUAAUUGCCAUGCAGAACAAAAUGAAUCAAAUUACAAGAAAACAUAAAAAAAAUACAAAGAAAAGCAUCCUGUAGAGUGUCAAGAUACCAUUUUAGACUUCACGCAUUAUUUGCUCUUGCCCCUGAAGUUACUCAUUUCCCUUAUCUCUUGAUAGGGUCUUCCUGCAUCGCUGUGCCAUAAAGCGCGGAAGCAUAAGCCCAAGUAUUUGUUCAAGGAUUCUUGUCCCACUUGAUUCCAUUGCUUGAACUGGAAUUGCACUAAAUGCAAAAGGGACCUCAAUGUUAACCUCAAUGACUGCAUCAGAAGUAAGUUGUUGCACUGAUGAGUUGCUUUGGCUGCUACCACAUGAGAUAUAGUUCACCAUAGAAGCACUGAAUUUCUCAUUCUGUGCAACCACCAUAGGUGAGCCCUCAAGCUUGCAUGAUAAAAGCUUAAUGCAACAACCAUUAGGCUGCUCUUCAACUCUAACAAGCAAAACAGGGCAAACCUCAAAAGCAAAGAACUUGAACCUAUACACAUAACACCUAAACGUGUUGUCGUCCACCCGCUCUAUCCUCUCCGCAUCCAACACGGAGUAUUGACUCGCCGGUAAGCUCAUAUACUCAAUUAGAGGGCGCCCCAGUUGCCGGACCAAAACCGACUCCUUCCGCCGUGCAAUGAAUUGCGCUUUCGGAGUCGAAUUGGCCAAAGCGCGGAGGAAGGGCCUUGGAGAUCCAUGCGGUGACGAAGACAAUUUCAUAGGAAGAUAAUUUUUAGGGUUCCUGGGUUGGAAUUGUAGAAAACUUAGGCUUAUAGUAGCUCUUGAAGAGGUAGAGCAGUUCAAAGCCAUUUCACUCCAAUUUUAGAAGAUAACGUUACUUGGGCAAAUCUAGGCAGUAGGCUGAGAGAACCGUAGUGGUGAAGGAUAGAUAGGACUACGAGUAACAACUAACUAGGCGCAUGUUAGCAUCAGACGCUGACAUAGUUGUGGGCCCCACUUAUUUGUUUCCUUUAGGCAUUCAUCUCUGCACCAUCAGGAGACCUUUACCAAAUCACAGAAACAUUCAAAUGGACAGCAAAAUCGCAGGAAUUUAAGAGUUAAAUCAGGAAUUCCAUUGAUUCAAAUGCAGGAAACUACAAUUAGAACCUCAUUCAUGGUAAUAAUCCAACUCUUUACAUCGAAAAACCCUAAGGAAGAUGUGCCACAAUAACUCUAAUCCUAACCCUAAGAGCUAGUGAACUUAGUAA